AUGGGGACCCGGGAGCUGCCGCUGCCGACGUGCUUCGAGCUCCUCCUCGGCAAAGAGCGUGACCGGUGGCCGCUGGAGGCCACGCUCAUCUGCGCCGCCUACGACGGCAGCAUCCGCAAAAUCAAGAAGAUCGCGAAGGAGCUGGACGUGCACGGGCACGGCAUCCCGGCGACGGUGGCCAACACCACCUACAUGGGAAUGAACGUGCUUGAUGCCGCCGGUGGCUGUGGCAGCUUGCCGGUCUACCGGUACCUCGUCGAGGAGGUCAAGAUGGACGUCGGAAACCCCGACAGCGCUCAGGGUUUUACGCCCUUGGAGUAUGCUGCCCAGAAUGGACACCUCCCUGCUGUCAGGUACCUUCUUGACCACGGCGCCGAUCUGCACCAGGAACGUUCCAGCCUCACUCUUCUUCAUACAGCUGCAGUUCAUGGGCGGUCUGAAAUAGUAAAGUUUCUUCUUUCUAAAGGAGCUGAUGUUGAUGCACUAUCAGAUCUUGGGACACCACUCACUCUUGCUUCUCUUAGAGGACAUGCUAGCAUUCUGAAGAUCCUUUUGCAGCACAAUGCAGAUCCCAGCAAGGGUAAUGGUGCGUUUGUACCUUUAGACAUGGCAUUACACAAAUCCUUUGUGCCAUGUGUGAAGCUAUUGGUUCAGGGUGGGACUAAUGUGAACGGUGAUAAUCAUUUGGCAAAGGCUGCAGAGAAGGGCUUAACUGAAGCUAUUAAGUGUUUGGUGGAAGCUGGUGCAAACCCAAAUGUGAUUGACAGGUUUGGUAGAUUGCCAAUAGAGUUGGCUGCUGAGUAUGGUACACGAGAAGAUGUCGAGAUUCUCUUUCCUUUCACCUCUCCCAUUUCAACUGUGGCCAAUUGGACUGUUGAUGGAAUCAUUAAGCAUGUGGAGAUGGAAAUGAAGCAACUUGAGGAUGGUAGUUUUGUGAAAAAGAAGAUGUCCGACUUAAAACAACAAGGGGAUGAAGCAUUUAAGAAGCAGGAUUAUCAAAAUGCUUCAGUGUUCUACACACAGGCACUGAAGAUGGAUAACUUCGACGCCAAGCUGUUAUCAAACAGGAGCCUCUGCUUGCUUCGCAUGGGUGAAGGGCGAAGGGCUUCUGAGGAUGCCGCUGAAUGCACAAAGCUGCGCCCGAAGUGGGCAAAGGCGCACUACCGGAAAGGUGCAGCUCUAAUGUUCAUGAAGGAGUAUGAUGCUGCGUAUUCCUCACUGUCGCGGGCUCUGGAGUUGGACCCGGAAAGCGAAGAGAUCGAGAAACUAUUCUGGGAGGCGAUGGAGCUGAAGUGA
rnacentral:rRNA from 1 species